UUUGCUUGGUUGCUAGUGUGACUCGGCCAUCCCAACUCCCUCUAGGUUGGACUGUUGAGUGGGACCCAUCCUCAGCCAGCGAGGAUCGUUGUGUCUAAUAUCAUGGCAGGCUUCACCAUGGUAUUGUGUCUCGACGUUAGACUUACCAUUGUUUUUUCGCUACUUUUGAACUCUGAAAUCCACUUUAUGCUUUUGACAUCCUGAGUUGUAAUAAAUGAAGUUGGGAUCUGUAAUAAUUUAUCUGGAUUGUUGUAAUCUCUGAACUCGUCUUCGUGCGAGUAUGCUUUGUUUCGAUCUGAGACAAGUGGUUUUACCGGGUGAAACCUGACGGACUGCCAUUUUAACUUGAUUAAAGUGUCUCCUCGCAUAUGAGAUGACGUUGAGUACACUUUAGCCGGGUUAAUCUGGGCGGUUCCGCCACACCAACAACACUAGCGCUCAGGCCUUGGCCGACCUAAAACCCACUGACGUCCUGAUGAUUGAGGCGGAAGAAGAUUGGCGCACCCCGUUCACAACCUUAAUCAGCAACCAGAUGGUGCCAGAGGAUAAAAUAGAGCAUGAAAAAUUAGCUAGGCGCAGUGCAAACUACAUCAUCAUUGGGAAAUAGCUCUACAGAAAAGCUACUUCCACAAGGGUAUUGAUGAAAUGUAUUUUACGCAGCAAGGAUAUUGAACUACUGCAUGAAAUUCACUCAGGAACAUGCAGUAACCAUGCUGCCUCGAGCACUUUGGUCGGCAAAGCCUUCCGCUCUAGUUUCUACUAGCCAACAGCGGUAGCUGAUGCAAAGGAACUCGUCCAACGAUGUAAGGGUGUCAAUUCUUCUCUAAGUAGCAGCACCUCCCAACUUAGGCCUUAUGCACCAUCCCACCAUCCUGGCCCUUCGCAUGCUGGGGGUUGGAUAUUGUCGGACCCUUCAAAACCACUCCAGGUGGCUACACACAUAUCUUCGUGGCUAUUGACAAAUUUACAAAGUGGAUUGAGGUAAAGGCGGUGACAAGCAUCGAGUCGGCUAAAGCAUCCCAGUUCAUGGAACAAAUUAUGCACUGCUUUGGUGUACCUAACAGGAUCAUAACCAACCUUGGCGUGCAUUUCAUAGGCUUUGAGUUCUGGGACAUCUGCCAAGACCACCUCAUUGAUGUGUACUACUCCUCAGUAGCACACCCGCGCUGCAAAUGGUCAGGUAGAGCACGCAAACGGGAUGGUCCUCCAGUCCCUCAAAACAUGCAUCUUCGACGACGCGUCCAAAUACGCUACCAAGUGGCUACAUAAGUUACCCUAUGUCAUAUGGGGUCUAAGAACAUAGAAGAGCCGAGCUAUUGGCUACACCCCUUUUUUUAUGCUAUACAGCUCCAAGGCCGUCAUGACAUCUGAUGUGGCCUUUAGCGCCCUGCGUAUCCAAUACUACGACGAGGGCGAGGCAGAAUAAAGUUGGCAAGUCAAUAUUGACAGCCUUGAAGAGCAUCAUGUGGCAGCCCUCAUGCAGCAUGCACGUCAUGAGCAGCAAAUACAGCGCUACCACGAUCACAAUGUCUCGGAACGCUCCUUCAACAUUGGAGACUUGGUGCUUCACCGGGUCCAGUCCACCAAGGACAUGCACAAAUGGGCUACCCCUUGGAAGGGCCCCUUCAUCGUCAAACAAGUCAUCCAACAAGGCACCUACCUACUACAAUGGGCAGAUGGCUCCGGCGUCCCCAAUCCAUGGAACAUUGAGCAUCUACGACGCUUCUACCCUUAGAUAUAUAAAGCUAUGUACUCAAAUUCCCUUUUAUAUUGAAUAAAUAAAACCCCGGCGGUCCUUUUUGCGUACCUACUACCUUACUGUUCUUCUUCCUGAGCUGUUCCUUACGCUCGGGGGGCUAUCCGACCUCUUUAGCAGCCCGCUCACUCACAAGCUCGGGGGCUUCCCAUAGGUGUCGACCUCUGGGUCACUCCUUUCCCUCCUACCCCUCUCAAGGCUAUACGACUAACUCAUGCGGUCGGCGUCCUAGCUAGAGAAACCUAGACAACCUCAUGUUCACCCCUCCUACAAGCUCAAGAUCUGCUCUCAGCAGGAUAUUGGUCAAGCGAGGCUAGGUGCUUAGUGGCUACAGGCCUCAGCUACACGUUAACCUGUCGUAUACACCAAGGAAGGGAUGGAGUUUUCCUUCAUCACAUAUAAAUAAAAACGUUGCAUUCAAUGCUUCAUUGAACAGUUUAAUACAUCUUAAAUGUUUGCCCUACACGUCCAGGUCAUUUACAAUCGUCUCUGCUGCAUCGUGGUACUGCUCGGCAACCUCAAGAAUCUUGUCUUCCUCGAAAUCGGCCACGAUUCCUGUUGCGGCAUGCUCCAAGGAAAUCGUCGGGAAGUGUGACGCCAACAACACAAAGGUUUUCUUGACACACUCCACCACAGUAUCCUGCAGCAGCCUCUUCAGUUGACCCGGUGCAGCCCUAAGAUGGUCCAGUAGAGGCGUUGGCGUGGAUGGGUCGACGUCUGCUUGGAUCAUGUAGCUGGCUGACUUCCGCAGCUCCUCUAUCUCUAACCCAAUUACAUGUUUGUCAUUCCGGAGGUUACUUAUAGUGGCAUCCAAGCAGCGCUCUGUUUCCUUGCACGCAUUGGCUUCAUAGGCCAGCUUCUAGGAUACAACAUACUCACGCUUCACUGCCGGGUCAUGCUCCUGCUGGAGGUGCCUGUUGGAGUCUUCUCACUCUUUGAGGUGCCAUUUGAGCUUCUCCUCCCUCUUCCUAGAAUCUGUGUGUCCAACCAAGUCAGCAUCAGUGCGAUGGCAUCCAAGGAAAACAUGAUUUAACAAGUUGGCAUAACAUACCAGCCAAGUUCGAAGAGAAGAUCUCCUUAUCAGUAGCAAAGUCAAUCUUUGCCUUCUGCAAGUUGGCCUUGAGGUGCGCAAGUCUUCAUGCUCCUUAAGGCUUCGCUGGAGUCUAGCUACUUACACUGCAGAAUCUGCAUAAUCAACACAUCGUCGCAUUAGCAUCAAGAUUGCCAAAGCAAAAAUUGAUUAAAACAGGUCGGCACACCGUACCUCUCAUGAGUCCAUCAUGCACUACUUUCUUGAGGCUAUGCUAAGACAGCUGGCUUUGGAGAUCUGCUUUUGCCUUCUCGAGCUUAGCCUCCAAGCGCUCUACCUUCAGACGAUAUUGCUCGGCAUGAUGGAUCGCGUCUACCCUCUUCUGAGCAUGCUCGGCCAUACCCUGCUUACACUCUAACAAUCAGAGCCCUACAAAGAAACUGGAUUUCAAAUAUAUGUCCUACAGGUUGAUUGACACACUUACGCAUAGCAGCUCAGUGAUCUCAGAGGACGACUACCGCAGCCUAGCAAGAUCCUUCUUGUCGUGCGCCACGUCCCCAGCAAGGUCAGCUCCAGAGACGUUGAAGGUGUCAGAAUCAUUUCUUCCAUCCAGGGCAGGCAAAUCAGGCAGUGGAUCAUCCCUGGGUGGCUCAUCCUAUUGAAGCUCGGCCCCAACAUCUUCCUCAGCCUCUUCCUCAACCUUGAAGUCGACCCUUACAUCCUCCUCUACCUCCUUGGCGACCUCGGGGUUGAUCAUGGCAUCGUCGGCUUCCUUAGAACCAACCUCAUCCUAUUGUGGCGCUAGACUUCGCACAACUUCUUCAGUAUGAGCAUCCCCGCUAGUUUCGACCUCUGUGGCCGUCGACUACUCAACGAUGCGAUAGUUGGUAGCUUCGGUAUGGCCCGAGCACCUUGUUAGUUGUGCGCUGCCAUUGUCAGACCGCACGCCAGUCCUACAUCAUCAUCUCAACCGACAAUCCAUGAAAGAUAAGACUGCAAUCAUAAACAUAGAUAGUAUAAAGACAGCUGCACUUACAAGGUGCUCUUCUUCCUCAAGAGUAACUUUGGGCACAAUUGUUAUGGCAGCAUGGAUGUAUCUCCGGUGGAGCCGCCACACAUCUUCUCCUUCAACACCUCCUUGAGACGUGCCGCGUCAGCCGCGGUGGUCUUCUCAAGCUCUGAGUCCUUGUCCUUCGUGGCUGGACUCAGCGUGUCAGACAUUGCUUCGCUGACCAUCCUAGUCGAGACAGCGGUACUUGACACGGCUUUUUCCUUCUUCUUGCCGGCCAUCUUCUUCCUCUUCCCACUUGGCUGAGGUGCCUUGGAAAGGGGCCUCUUGUGCACGGCCUGCUAGAUUUGCCAUUCACCCUACCCACUGUGGCGGAACUGCCCAAAUUAAACUAGCUAAAGUACACUUAAGUCACCUAACAUGCAAUCAUGUACUUUAAACAAGUCAACUUGGUCAUCCGUUAGAUUUCAUCCGAUAAACCACUUAACUCAGGAUCGAGAAGCAUUGCUCACAUGAAGGUGAGUGGUUACAAAGAUUACAACAUUCCCAUCUCAUUAACAUAGUAAACAAUUAUUACAUCAGAGUUUUGCGAAAUUCAGACAAGUUUGCAUGAUUUCAAACAACGAAGAUAAAGUUUAGCAAAAGUCUAAACGUCGAUACAUAAUACCAUGGCGAAGCCAACCAUGAUAUCAAUUCCCACGAUCCACGCUGUCUGAGCACGGUUUCCACUCGACCAUCCAACUCAGAGGGAGUUGGAUCGCCAAGUCAAACUGGCAGCCAUAUCCUCAAAAUCAACACUACUUGAACAACAUAGCCACAAGCAAGGCUGAGUAUACUAAUACUCAGCAAGACUUAAUCGUCGGGUGGUAACUACUCCACCAACUUCUACACAUGCAAGGCUUUUUGGCUAGGGGGGGGUUUGUUUUGCCAAAAGUAGCUAAAGUAGAUCCUUACUUUCAAGUUUUAGCAUCAGGUUCUAGUCAAUUAACCAUUCUAGGUAAGCACCUAUUCUAAGCAAGGAUGUGAUCUAGCAAUUUAAUCAAGCAUCAUUAUUAACCAUCAUACUUUGUUCUCCUUCUUCCUCAGUGCAGAAGUCGGUCAAGCAGUCUCAAACUGUGAGAGGCAGACGAUUCGAAUUAAGUUUUUAAACCUUGCAAGGUGAACCUAAACCCACGACAUCUGUGUACCAUGCUGGGUCCACUUCACUUGUUAGCCGUCCCCAUCAAUCCACAGGCACGUGGCCAGGGCCCACUUCCCUUGGAUACAAUGCCCCACGAUCCCGGAACGUUGCCGUACCGUGACUGCACUUGUACCCACAUGGUGCGCCAGGGGAAACUCUGUUCCAGAGAGAGCGGGGAGUAUGCCCACGUCCUAGUUCAAUCAGGUACUAGGCUUCUCUAUCCCAUACUAGGUAUGAGUUUAGUACUUUCAAACACUUGACCAUAGCUCUAAACACAUUUCAACCUUAGCAUCUUUUCCUAGACAGACGGGGCAAUCCACCAACUACCAAAAUAGUUCAAAUAGCCCAGCCCUGCCCGUCCUCCUUAUGGUUGCAUCAUUAGCAACCAAGCAAUUCCUAUAACUCGCGAGUGAUAGAAAAUCACUCGACUUUUACCGAAUCCUAUUUAGCAUUGCAUCUACUCAUCCUAACAUACUAGUAUUCAGGACAUAGGUACCUAGGAUCAUCUAUCUAAGGUUUCAAGCAACUCCUAUAAACUUAAUGCACAAACAUAAGCAAAAUAAAUAGUGCAUAAAUUCAGAAAAUCUGGGUUAUGCUCUGGGGCUUGCCUUCCUGAACUAUGUUAGUGAGAGAGUCGCUGGCAGCUUCCGGGAUCUCUUGCUCGGCCACGACGUGGUGCAGCUCUGUAGAUCCUUCCUCAGCAGCAGGCGUCAACUUGUGGGUUUCGUAUGCGAGGUUCGCUUCUACACAAGAUGCAUAUGCAAUGUUCAAGUUUCACAAGUUUGCGAGCAAGAUGCCUUUCAAGUUAAAAAGACAUAUUAAGUGCAAUUAGCACUACACUUAGAUAAACAUUAAACUUUAUACACUAGAUGAGGAAAUUUUUUUUUAAACCUUGGGUGUAUUUGAUGGUGAUUGUAUACACAUAUAAUGUUUUACAACAUAGAUUUUACAAGAAAGGUAGGGUCACUCUAGGGUUUCUCAAGGUUCAUUUGGUAAGUUCUCCUGUUUCUGAAUAUUUUUCUGUACAUCUUCGAAAAUUACCAUGUUACCCUAACUUUUACCUAAUGAUUGUUAUUCAUUUCCUUUUUGGGUUUAACUGUCAUAAAUGUUUCUGGUAGCUUCUCAUAAGAUAUGGUUCUCAAAAUUUUUACAAAGGCUUCCUAAUCACAUCAGUUAGCCACUGUAAAAAUUUGGGAUACAUUGAACUUCCACAAAGUUAAUUAAAAUUAAAACAGUAGCCUAUGGCAGAUUAUAGGGAUCUAUUUUUAAGUCUAGCUCCAGUGGCAGUUGGCUUUGAUAUUUUUACAGGAGGUUACACUAUAGUGACAGAGACAUCUAUGAUUUUUCCAUGAUUUUUGGUGAAGGACAUAUAUUUUUCAUAUUUUUCUAUGAUUUAAACUUGUACAAAAUGUUAAGCCUAAUUCAUGAAGUUUCAUUCAGUGACUGAUAUUUUUCCUCGCAAGUAUAUUUCAUAAGUGAUUUGACCUAGGUGGUUUCAUAUUUUUCUCUGAUGGAUUACAUUACUUGGGCAGUUUUACUCAGGAACCCGUGGAACAUUCAAAGUAUUAUGGAUACGUCCUUACACUUUACAUCGAUGGCUCUGCAACUUUUCUAAUCGAAGCAAAUAGGUCCUCUCGACGGCCGUGGUUACUCCGGCGAAAUCCCAGCGAACCACUAUGCAAGCGAAGGGAACAAAGGUGUGGGCAUGGGCGUGACCUCACCUUUAGCGGAUCUUGUGUAGAUGGCGGCGACGACGGUGGCUCAUCGGCGGUGAACAGCUUGGGGACGGAAAGCGGGCAGCGACGGUGGGGAACUUGCUGUUCCAACGAACUCAACGGCUCUAGCGAGCUACAGGCUGCUUGACGAACUGCUCAUGGCGGCGAGCGGCGGAGCAAUACGGAGCAGGGCUCUCCCCGGUGAACUCGAGCCGUGGCAGAGCUUCGCGGAGUAGAGGAGCGAGCUUGCGCGCGGGAAAUGGGAGCACUGGCGGUCAUUCACUCCUUUUUAUAGGGCCGAGGAGGUGCGGGGGAGCGGGACGGAGCUAUCGGGUGUGGAGGCGUGGCUGGAGGGGAGCGGGGGUGGAAAACCAGGCGGUGCCCUUGGCCGGCGGGCAUGGUUGGCCGGGCGGAGGCAUGCGGAUCCACGGGGAUUUCCCGGCCAUUGGCCAGGGCGGAUUGCGAGCGCGCGAGAGCAGCUUUACCUUGCACGUCUACUAGCCAGCCACGGGAGUGAGUUAUCUCGUCAGUGAGGGGAUUAGGCGGAGGUGCAUUGGCCGGCGACGUUCAUUGCAGAGGGAGGAUGUAGGCUUGUGGGCGAUCUUGUGGCCAUUGGCCUGAGAGGAUAGCGAUUGCGAAGGAGUAGCUUUGUCGGGCGGGCGGAUUGGCGGAGCUUGGUGCGCGAGUUGUUGUUGUCUUGGCCGGAAUUGGGUGGAGGGUGUCGAUCGGUGAGCAGCGAUGUCAUGGCGGCUGACGGCAUCUGUGGGCACGUUUGGGCAAGGUGAGGAUUGGGCGAAGGGUAUCGUGUGUUAGGGCAGGGAUGUGCGCGGCGUGCGGAUGGGCAGUGUUGGCGCACGUUCGGUCUUGUCUCGGGCGCGGUUGGGUGAUGGAAGCACACCCGUGGGGGAGGGACACGCGGCGGUGGUGAGCUGGAGCAGCGCCGGGCGCGCUCUGGCAAAAGGGGUGACGCGCGGAUCAGGUAAAGGGGCGGGUUUGGGAGCGAUUUUCUUGCAAAAUUUCAAACGAAGUCGAAAUUUUCCCAAACUAUGAAUUGUUGUCCUAAGGUCCCGCUUCAACUUUUACAAAAGGUUUGGGUUCUAAAUUGAGCUAGAUUUGAAGAUAGAAGGCUUCAAGGUUUGGUGGAACACCUAAAACUCAGACUUGGCUGAUUUCCAUAUUUCGGGCUGAGUUGACUAUUUUGGCUGACUUUGACUCAAGUUUUGGAAAGGUUCUUGUGAGAUUUGGUCUUAGGUCAAAUAAGUGAACUUGUACUAGACUUGUAGUACUUAAACUUUAUAAAGGGUUUGACUCAAGUUCCUAUACGAAGUUGUGAGAAAUAGGGCUGGCAAGCUGAGGAAUUUCUCAGUUUCAGACUUAUAGUUUGAAGAGCUAUUUUUGCUGGUUUUGAAAUUCAGGUCGACUUUAGCCUAGAAUUGGAGCAUGUUCCAAGUCGAAUCAGUUCAAGCUUUUUUGAAAUUUCAAGUUGUUAUAUGAAAUUUCAAGUUGUGAUAUGAAAUUUCAAAAUUUAAGUUUUUAUAUGAAAUUUCAAAAUUUCAAGUUGUUAUAUGAAAUUUCAAAAUUUAAAUUACCCCUAAAUUGAGCUUCUAAGGGGCAUUUUUGACCUUUCAAGUGCUAGAUUAGGCUUCUAAUCACUUUAUCUAGGUUUAAGCAAGGUUAAAUUAACUAGGGUUGUUACAGCCUACCCCCCUUAAAAGGAAUCUCGUCCCGAGAUUCAAGUGAGGAGAACUGGUGUGGUGGGGUUUUUAGUCUACAUUUACUAGAAACAUUUUUGUUCCAAUUAACACUAUGGAAAGCGCCGGAAUCGAAUAAUAUGAAGGCAGGGUGAUAAUGAACAGAAAAUGUACCCGGCAUCACUGGAGUGCCUUCUGGAACUUCUGCUGGAUUUGUGAACUUCAAUUUGCCCUGACGAACUUGCACCUGCGGCCUUUUCCCUUUAUUAUUCCCAGGGUUGCUCUGACCAGGCCUCUGAUUCUUGUUCUGAGGGCAAUCCUUGGCGACAUGACCAGUGUUCUCGUAGGUGAAGCAAUGGUUUCCAUUACCAGGGCGCGGAUGUUGUGGAAGGUUCGGCCAUGGCCCUUGGGGCUCAUAUCCAGGGAAACAGGGUGCGGCCUGCUGUGGCCGACGGGCAACCCAUCUCCCAGGUUGUGUAGGUCUACGAGGCACUGGCGGGGGAAUCAACCGAAACUUCUAAGCUAGAGCACUGGGUGAUGGCAUUGGAGCCUUCCUCUUCUUGUCAGCUUGGAGGGCCAUGAUGCAAUCUUCCUGUGAUAUAGCCAGAUUCACCAACUCAUUGUACACGUCUACUUUGAUGGGGUUCAACCUCUCCUUGAGCUUAGGAUUCAAGCCCCUACGGAAACGGUCCCGCUUCUUCUGGUCCAAAUCCGCAUGAUAGCCCGUGUACCUACACAGGUCAUUGAAGGCCUGCGCAUACUGCAGUACAUUGUAGGUUCCUUAGGAGAGAGCGAGGAACUCACUGAGCUUGCACUCCAAUAACCCCUCAGGGAUGUGAUGGCCCCUGAAUGCCGUCUUGAAUUCCUCCCAGCUAACUACAUGGUUGGCUAGCAGCACCGCAUGAUAGUGGUCCCACUAAACACAAGCAGAACUACGCAGCUGCUGUGCUACGAACUGGGCCUUGUUCUCGUCCGGGCAGGGUGCGGUGAGGAGCAAGAAUUUGGACUCAAUGGUAUGAAUCCAGGCGUCGGCCUCCAGAGGGUCUUCGGUCUUAUGGAAGAGCGGGGGUUGCGUGCCCAAGAAGUCCUCAUAUCUCACAACACGAGGCUGAUGAGGGAUCCUUCCGCCUUGUGGUUGCGGCGGCUGCCCCUUGACGAUGUGUCAUAGGAGCUCUGUCUGCGCAGCUAGUAUCGCCUCUAGCGAAGGUGGGGGAGGCGGCGGUAGAGGGUCCUACCUUUGUCCGUUGCCGCUUGGUGCGAACCUGGAUGGUGUUUGAUGAGUUUUGUGCACCAUAUGCAACAAGGUACUUUUCCAUUAGUCACAUAAUUUAGAAACUUGUUCAAACACUAGAAAAAUUAUGUGUGGAAUGUAAGUGUCCAUCUUGCUGGCAGCAUUACGGUAGAAACAGCAAUAUAACUUAUUGAGUAGGUGCAUAUCCCUUCUUUCCGAUGCCCAUUGUUUCUCAUCUUUGGUCAGUAGCUAGGAAUAACUUUCGUAUUACGCUCACUGACCAAAACAUAAGGUAACAAGGGUGAAAAAUUAGUUUGAUACUUUGCUAUUCGGGCUAUUUUUCAGCAAGCUGAGCAGUGAAGUUUUUUUUUAUAACUCGAGUUUGACAGAUCCAAAGGAGCUCAAAAUUAUGAGCAGUUAGAACACAAGGUUUCGCACAACUUUGAUAUUUAAGCCUCAGCUCGAAAGUGAUUGGAAAUAAAGUCAAAACUGAGAACAAACAGCUUUUGAAUUUCUGCCAGGUUUUCGGGUUACAUCGCUAGACAUGACAAAAGCAUGGCAAUGCUUGCAUAACAAAUUCAUGGCAGCCAAGGUACUCAACUCGAGGCUAACCUAUUACAUCUAUAUCCAAAAUAUAGAUCGCUGAGGAGUAAAAUAAAAGGAAACUACUCAAGUCUAGAUAAGACAUCUACAAGUCAUCCAGGUUGCCUAUGGAGGCAAGGCUGAGCACGAGGGAGUGGGCUGCGCCCAUCUGUGGCUGUGGGGUAAGAUCCUCAAAGUCCAUGAUCGAGUAGCCCUUCAUCUCCUCGGGCACCUCCUCCAUAGGCUCGGCUUGCUGAGCCUACUAUGCCUCCAAGGUGUGUAUGGCAUCCAUCUCCACGUGGUGCUCAUCUAUGUGCUCAUUAGCCUCAGCCAACUCCAUGUUAACAUCGUAAAACUGGUCGGCUAAUAGCUCCAUAUCAUGCUCCAUAUCAUCCAUCUCAUCCCGUAAAUUUGAAAUUUGAGUCUCCAUGUCUGCUAUUUGAAUGUCCUUCUGCACUAGCUGGCAUGACAAGUCUACCAUCUCACUCUGGAUAGUAGAAAGAGCAACCUGGUUGGCCACUGCCAACCUAGCCAAAGCGGUCAUCGCACUACCUCGAAGCUCGUUCAGCCUAUAAAGUGCAUUCAUGCACCUAGCGGAGGUAAAAACCAUCUCCUGAGGACAUAACCAACCCAUCAACUCCUGGUUGUCCAUUCGAUCCAGCCAAUCUGCGUCCUGCUCGUCCCUAGCUGGGAACAAGCCGAUCGGAUCCAACACAAUCUCCACCGGGUGCUGUCGGCAGAAAAGUGUCAGCCUCUCAAGUGCAGCCGUCUCCCAAGCAUCCUCAAGAGUGUGUCCAAUGACCAUGGUCUCAAGUCGUGGCCACUAGGGCUACUUGGGGUGGGGGUGUACUGUCAGGUGCACGCUGCUCCUGGGCACUCCAUGGUCCACAUACUCUCGGUCGGAGUACUGAGGAGGGCGCUCGUACCCAAAAGAGCGAAGAGUGUCCCACAGGAUGAAGGGAAAGCCCUCCCAGUGCAAGCACUCACAGUGAACAAUGUUGUUCAUGUCAACCACGACAUAAAUGGGAUCGGCCAUCUGGAAACAAAGGGUGACAAGUGAGAGAGGGAAUCAAUACUCUGAAAUCAAAAUAGAUUUCUAGCAAGUUAGAGAAAAAGCUCAUAACUCAGCAAGUAUUUAUCCAAAAUUUCCCAAAAUUUACCAUAUGGUUUUUUAGGUAGUCUGUGGUAAGUUUGGUAUUCAGAGGUCGAGCUGGAACAUAUUCUAUCAAGGUGAUCUACUCAGGUUUUUACCAGGGGUACAUCCUGGAAUUUUCAGAACAGUGCGGAAAUAAACUGAGCAUAACUCUUAAACCAGUGAUACAAAAAUUUGGAUACUUUACCAGAAUGCUCUUUAGAUGAUGUCCAACAGGUUUGGUAUUCAAAUUUGUAGCUGAAUCAAGGUCUAGGAAGGUGAUAAACUAUAAUUCUCACAGAGGGGUUCAUUCUGAAAUUUUCAGAAACAAUGCAGGAAUGAAUAGAUCAUAUCUCUUAAAGAGUUGAUCCAUUUCAGCUGAAAUUUCACCACAAUGUUCUCUGCUCAGUGCGCAACAACUUUAGUUUAAGGGUGCCGAACAGGAAAAGUCUUUAAGGUUGCCGAAAAAUCAAAAACCCAACAGGUGUGCAAGGUGUUGUCUCAACGAACACGGGGUUUCUCAUCUGAAAAUAUCCCACAAUCUAAUUGGCCAAAUUUUACCAAACUUUACCAGUAUCUUGUUUAGGAAUUUGUGAGCAACUUUCUUAUAUAAAGUUUCUAGAGCAAGCCUAAGUUACUACCCCGAAAGCUUUUAACAAGAUCACCAUCGCUGGACAAGGCAGCUAGAUAAUCCUUAGCACGUACAAGACUUUUAGGCAAAGCACACAUGCAAGCUUGGUUUUCAUCUCUUAAGUUGCAACUUUUUUUCCUGAUGCAUGCACAUCCUAUUCGACCUCACGACCAAAAAUAAUUAUCAGAAAGCUUUGGACUUACGUGGUCAAUGCUGGUGGCGAGGCAACAUUUAUGGCUCUCUCUAUAAUAACUAGUCGGAUUUUCUAGUCAUCGUUAAAAUAUAUAAUCGCAGUUAGCUUACCUGCAGAAAAUUUUCAACCUGAACUUUUCAUGUCAGCACUCAUGAAAACAUCCACAAUCAUUACUGUUCAUUAUAGGAAUAGCACCCGUACGAUUAUCGCUGCACGGGCAACGUUCAUACGCUGGGAAGCGUAUUCACAUUUAUCCAACCAUUAUGUGCCGCCCUCAUAUUUGCAUAUGAGGUCGGGGGCAUGUUACGGAAUCGCCAUACCCCUACAUCCAACCAUUACGUGCCGCAAUCAUAUUUUUAUAUGAUGCUGGGGGUAUAUUAAUGAUCGCUAUACCCCUGCGUUUUGUGCUGAAAGUCAGUAUAAGUAACCAAUAGUUAAUUAGCCACCUAAAAACAACCUAAAAUUCCCCUAGGACUUCUCGUACUAAGUUCAUCCUUAAUGAACUUAUGAAUUUUUCAAACUAAUUUCUUGCUAGUUUCAUUCGAAAAAGGUGUUUAGGGCUUGUUGCUUCCUUUGGGUAUGCUUUGCCAGCUCUGAUACCAACCGUGGCGGAACCGCUCAAAUUAACCUGGCUAAAGUACACUUAAGUUGCCUAACACGUGAUCAUGUACUUAAACAAGUUAACUUGGUCAUCCGUUGGAUUUCAUCCGAUAAACCACUUUACUCAGGAUCGAGAAGCAUUGCUCACACGAAGAUGAGAGGUUACAAAGAUUACAACAUUCCCAUCUCAUUAACAUAGUUAACAAUUAUUACAUCAGAGUUUUGCUAAAUUCAGACAAGUUUGCAUGGUUUCAAACAACGAAGAUAAAGUUCAGUGAAAGUCUAAACGUCGAUACAUAAUACCAUGGUAAAGCCGACCAUGAUAUCAAUUCCAACGAUCCACACUGUCUAAGGACGGUUUCCACUCGACCGUCCAACCCGGAGAGAGUUGGGUCGGCCAAGUCAAAUUGGCACCAUAUCCUCAAAAUCAGCACUACCUGAAAAUAUAGCCACAAGCAAGGCUGAGUAUACUAAUACUCAGCAAGACUUAAUCAUCGGGUGGUACUACUCCACCAACUUCUAGACAUGCAAGGCUUUUUGGCUAGGGGGGUUUGUUUUGCCAAAAGUAGCUAAAGUAGAUCCUUACUUUCAAGUUUUAGCAUCAGGUUCUAGUCAAUUAACCAUUCUAGGUAAGCACCUAUUCUAAGCAAACAUGUGAUCAAGCAAUUUAAUCAAGCAUUAUUAUUAACCAUCAUACUUUGUUCCUCUUCUUACGCAGUGUAGAAGUCGGUCAAGCAGUCUCAAAUUAUGAGAGGUAGAUGAUUCGAAUCGAGUUUUUAAACCUUGCAAGGUAAACCUAACCCCACGACAUCCGUGUACCAUACCGGGUCCACUUUACUUGUUAGCUGUCCUCAUCAAUCCCCAGGCACGUGGCCAGGGCCCACUUCCCUUGGAUACAAUGCCCCAUGGUCCCGGAACGUGAUCGUACCAUGACUGCACUUGUACCCACAUGGUGCACCAAGGGAAACUCCAUUCCAGAGAGAGCAAGGAGUAUGCCCAUGUCCCGGUUCAAUCAGGUACUAGGCUUCCCUAUCCCAUACUAGCUAUGAGAUUAUUAAUAUCAAACACUUGACCACAACUCUACACACAUUUUGACCUUAGCAUCUUUUCCUAGACAGAUGGGGCAAUCCACCAACCACCAAAACAGUUCAAACAGCCCAACCCUGCCUGUCGUCCUUAUGGUUGCAUCAUUAGCAAGCAAGCAAUACCUAUAACUCGCGAGUGAUAAAAAAUCACUUGGCUUUUUUCGAAUCCUAUUUAGCAUUGCAUCUACUCAUCCCAACAUACUAGUAUUCAGCACAUAGGUACCUAGGAUCAUGCAACUAAGGUUUCAAGCAACUCCUAUAAACUUAAUGCACAAACAUAAGCAACAUAAGUAUUGCAUAAAUUCGGAAAAACUGGGUUAUGCUCCGGGGCUUGCCUUCCUUAACUAUGUUAGUGAGAGAGUCGCUGGCAGCAUCUGGGAUCUCUUGCUCGGCCUCGACGUGGUGCAGCUCUGCAAAUCCUUCGUCGGCAGCAGGCGUCAACUCGUAGGUUCUGUCUACAAGGUUCACUUCUACACAAUAUGCAUAUAAGUUUCACAAGUUUGCAAGCAAGAUGCCUUUCAAGGUAAAAAGGCAUAUUAAGUGCAAUUACCACUACACUUAGAUAAAUAUUAAACUUUAUACACUAGAUGAGAAAUGCCAUUUUUUAAACCUCGAGUGUAUUUGAUGGUGAUUUUGUACACAUAUAAUAUUUUACAACUUAGACUUUACAACAAAAGGUGGGGUCACUCUAGGGUUUCUCAAGGUUCAUUUGGUAAGUUAUCCUGUUUCUGAAUAUUUUUCUGUACCUCUUCCAAAAUUACCAUGUUACCCUUACUAUUACCUAAUGGUUGUUAUUCAUUUCCUUUUUGGGUUUAAACUUCAUAAAUGUUUCUGGUAGCUUCUCAUGAGAUAUUGUUCUGAAAAUUUUACAAUGGCUUCCUAAUCACAUCAGUGAGCUACUUUAAAAAUUUGGGAUGCAUUGAACUUCCACAAAGUUAAUUAAAAUUAAAACAAUAGCCUAUGGUAAAUUAUAGGCAUCUAUUUUUAACUCCAACUCCAGCAGCAGUUUGGCUCUGAUAUUUCUACAUGAGGUUACACUAUAGGGACAGAGACAUCUAUGAUUUUUCCAUGAUUUUUAGUGAAGGACAUCUAUUUUCCAUAUUUUUCUAUGAUAUAAACUUGUACAAAAUGUUAAGCCUAUUUCAUGAAGUUUGAUUCAGUGACUGAUAUUUUUCCUUGCAAGUAUGUUUUGUAAGUGAUUUAACCCAAGUGGUUUCAUGUUUUUCUCUGACGGAUUACAUUACUUAUGCAAAAAGAAAGAUGUUACCCUAGAUUCCAGAGAUAAAACCUAAACUGCAAUUUAAAGUUCCGUACUAGGCUUUAUAGUAUUUUUUAAGGCUUAACUCACUGAAACAAAUAUCUCAGAGUUGGAUUUAUUAUUUUUGCAUUUUUCCUUAAUUUACUACGCAUUAAAUGGCCCUAACAAGAAAUAAAUCAUAGAGCAUUAUUUCUGACAGUAACAUGUGCGAAGUUUAAUUUUCUAUGAAACUACCUCAUUUUUUGAGUCCGAGAAAAUCAGUUUGGCAUUUUUAUGAUUUUUCUACAAUUAUUUGUGCACUUCCAAAGUUCAGCUCAUUCAAUCCAUAUUUUAAACAGAAAAGACUCAGGCAGUUUUAUUCGGGAACCCCUGGAACCUUGAAAGUCUUACGGAUACGUCCCAACACUUUACACCGAUGGUCUUGGAACUUUUCUAAUCGAAGCAAAUAGGUCCUCGCGGCGGCCGGGGUUACUCCGGCGAAAUCCCAGUGAACCACUGUGCAAACGAAGGGAACAAAGGUGCGGGCAUGGGCGUGAGCUCACCUUGAGCAGACCUUGUGCAAACGGCGGCGAUGGCGGUGGCUCAUCGGUGGUGAAUGGCUUGGGGACGGAAAGCGAGUGGCGAUGGUCGGGAACUUGCUGUUCCGGCAAACUCGACGGCUCCGGCAAGCUACGGGCUGCUUGGCGAGCUGCGCGUGGCUGUGGGAGAGCGACUGCGAGUGGAGGCGAGCGGCGGAGCAAUGCGGAGCAGGGCUCUCCCCGGUGAACUCGAGCGGUGACAGAGCUUCAUGGAGCAGAGGAGCGAGCUUGCGCACAGGAAAUGGGAGCGCCGGCGGGCAUUCACCCCUUUUUAUAGGUCCAGGGAGGUGCAGGGGAGCGGGGCCGAGCUAUCGGGCGUGGAGGCGUGGCUGGAGGGGAGCAGGGGCGGAAAACCCGGCGGAGCCAUUGGCCAGCGGCCAUGGUUGGCCGGGCGGAGGCAUGCGGAUCCACUGGGAUUUCCCGGCCAUUGGCCAGGGCGGAUUGCGAGCGCGCGAGAGCGACUUUACGUUGCACGUCUACUAGCCAGCCAUGGGAGUGAGUUGUCUCGUCAGCGAGGGGAUUAGGCGGAGGCACAUUGCCCGGCGACGUUCACUGCCGAGGGAGGUUGUAGGCUUGUGGCGAUCUUGCGGCCAUUGGCCUGAGAGGAUAGUGAGCGUGAAGGAGUAGCUUUGCCGGGCGGGCGGAUUGGCAGAGCUUGGUGCGCGAGUUGUUGUUGUCUUGGCUGGGGUCGGGUGGAGGGUGUCGAUCGGUGAGCAGCGACGUCAUGGCAGCCAAUGGCGUCCGUGGGCACGUUCGGGCAAGGUGAGGAAUGGGCGAAGAAGAUUGCGUGUCAGGGCGGGGAAUGUGCGCGGCAUGUGGAUGGGCAGUGCUGGUGCAUGUUCGAUCUUGUCUCGGGCGCGGUUGGGCUAUGGAAGCUCACCGGUGGGGGAGGGACACGCGGCGGUGGUGAGCUGGAGCAGCACUGGGUACGCUCUAGCGAAAGGGGUGACGCGCGGAUCAGGUGAAGGGCCAGGUUUGGGAGCAAUUUUCUUGCGAAUAUCAAACGAAGUCGAAAUUUUCCCAAACUAUGAGUUGUUGUCCUAAGGUCCAGGUUCAACUUUUACAAAAGGUUUGGGUUCUAAAUCGAGCUAGAUUUGAAGAUAGAAGGCUUCAAGGUUUGGUGGAACGCCUAAAACUCAGACUUGGCUGAUUUCCACAUUUCGGGCUGAGUUGACUGUUUUGGCUGACUUUAACUCAAGUUUUGGAAAGGUUAUGGUGAGAUUUGGUCUUGGGUCAAAUAAGUGAAACUAGACUUGUAGUACUUAAACUUUAUAAAGGGUUUGAUUCGAGUUCCUAUACAAAGUUGUGAGAAUUAGGGCUGGCAAGCUGAGGAAUUUCUCAGUUUCAGACUUAGAGUUUUAAGUGCUGUUUUUGCUGGUUUUGAAAUUCAGGUCGACUUUAGCCUAGAAUUUGAGCAUGUUCCAGGUCGAAUCAGUUCAAGCUUUAAUUAACACAUUUGUUCUAUGUGCACUCUAAGACUUUGGUGAAAGCUCCAUCCUAAGAUCUGGUCCAGAAUUUUAAUUAAAAGCGACCAAAGUACCCUACUUAGAACUAUUUUCAACACUUAGAGUUUUUGAAAUAAGGAUGAUUUGCCACUGAGUUUAAAUCUCAUUUUUUAACCUCUUCCUCUCCAAAUCACUCAAGGUUCCAAUAAGAAAAGUUGUUUAGUUUGUAAAUUUCUACAACUCUUAUAUUGACAAAAUUUUAAGUUGUUAUAUGAAAUUUCAAAUUUUAAAUUACCCCUAAACUGAGCUUCUAAAGGGCAUUUUUUACCUUUCAAGUGCUAGAUUAGGCUUCUAAUCACUUUAUCCAUGUUUAAGCAAGGUUAAAUCAACUAAGGUUGUUACACGCGGCACUUCGAGUCAAACUCAAGGUUGGUAGGUGGCGCAAUCGGUACAUCAGGCGGACAGAUCUUGGGCGGUGUUGCUUGCGCACGCCAAGUAGUGGGGACGGGCAAAAGUAAACAAAAGCAUCAUCCUGGUCAAUUCAAUACUUCAAGUCAGAAACAUCACAAGGAAACAAAUGUGCACCGCAUCAAAACAAAGUUGCGUACAAUCUUAUCGGAAAAGCUUUGGGAGAUUUUUGUUACUAAUGUCAUCCUUGAAGAACUCCCCACACCCAGCUAACAACCUCAUCGUUGGACACUUUGCCAGAGACCUCCCAGGUCAGACCAUCUAGUCCCGAGUACUCCCACAACGAAUGUACUUGGUAUUUGAUGGGUUGCGUCGCCCUCUGACAAAAAUUGAUACUGAUGGCAGCGGCUGUCAGUCCCCGCGCCUUCAGGCCAGCGAUAUUUGGCAAUAGCUCAUCGACUUGGACCUGUUCUUCUGAGGUAGGCAGAUUUUUCCAUUUAGAUAUUGACACUGGCCCAAAUUGUGUGCAUGGCGGUAGCUUGGGUUUCUGGUUCGCAAUGAGGAACCACUCGGGAUGCCACCCCUUGUUGGACUCCCUCAAUUGCAGUCCAAAAUAUUCCUGCAUCCUCUUGGGCCGUAGCGAGAACCCGGCACCCCCAAUAACCCGGCCCUUUUUUCCCUUGUUAUCCACAGGUUUCAAUUGAUACAAAUACCGCCACAAAUGAAAAUGCGGGGGGAUGCCCAAGAAUGCUUUGCACAAAUGAAUGAAACUAGAUAUGUCCAAGAUUGAGUUCGGGUUCAAGUGUACUAACUCAAUCUUGUAGUAGUUGAGGAGGCCACGGAAAAAGUCUCCUGUGGGGAUCCCGAAUCCUCGCUUGAAGAACAGCAUGAACACCACCGCCUCCGCCAUGUCCUAUGAUGGGAACCGCUGACCGGUGGUGGGCUUCCAGUCGAGAAGCUCUUGCGGGCCAAGGAGGCCACGAUCGACGAGAGCUUGGAUACGCUCCUGUGUCAUCACAGACUUCAUCCAGAUGGAAGAAGGCUCUGAGGCAUUAGAUUGGGCCAUCUCUCCAAGCUUGUUGACAUGGGAUUUAGAUCUAAAUAGGACUAGGGUUUGCUUGCUCAUACAACGGCGUAGCGGCUCAGGCGGUGGCGGCGCAGCAGCUCAGGCAGUGGCGGCGACGUGUGCGCGAAGAGAAUGUGGGCUCUGGUGGUGCAACCUAGGGUUCGAGAGUGUGGUAGCUAAGUGCUUAGUGAGCUCAAGGCGAAGGCGCUGAGAGUGAUUGAAGAUAAGAAUGGCAAUGGCUCCGUACCCGUCACGCUUAUGAAGGGGUUGCCGGCAUGAGUUAUAGAUGAAAAUCGCGAGCCUUCCGUUACAACAAUGCAAUGUACCGGGAAAAAUUAACAAGAUUUUCCGUUAGUGACGUGUGCGUGGGAUGGAAUAUGCGAGAUCUUUGUUGUGCUUUUAAUGGAGCGCCUUUGUGCCUUUGUCAACCGCCGUCCUCGGGGCCAGACACCUAAUUCUACUCAGCAUGCCUCAGCGGCUCUGCCAGCCCUCGUCCUCAGGGGCUGGGUGCCUAAUUCUACUCGGCGUGCCUCAGAGGCUCUGCCAGUCCUCGUCCUCAGAGGUUGGGCAUCUAAUUCUACUAGGCGUGCCUCAACGGCUCUACCAGUCCUCGUCCCUAGGGUCUAGGUGCCUAAUUCUACUCAGCGCGGCUCUGCAGCUUUACCAAUCCUAAUCUCGAGGGCUAGACUCCUAAUUCUACUCGGCAUGCCUCAGCGGUUCUGCCAGUCCUCGACCUCGGGGGUUGGGCGCCUAAUUCUACUCGGCGUGCCUCAGCGGCUCUACUAGUCCUCGUCCAUGGGGGUUGGGCGCCUUACUCUAUUCAGCGUGCCUCAGCGACUUUGCCAGUCCUCAUCCUCGGGGGCUAGGCACCUAAUUGUACUUGGUGUGUCUCAUCGGCUCUGACAGGCCUCAUCCUCAGGGGUUGGGUGCCUAAUUCUACUCGGUGCGCCUCUGCAGCUCUACCAGCCCUCGUCCUUCGGGGCUGAGCUCCUAAUUCUGCUCAACGUGCCUUAGUGGCUCUGCCAGCCCUCGACCUCAAGGGCUGGGUGCCUAAUUCUACUCGGCGCACCUCUAUGGCUCUACCAGUCCACGUCCUCAGGGGCUAGGCACCUAAUUCUACUUGGCGCACAUCUGCAGCUUCUCCAGUCCUCGUCCUCAGGGGCUAGGCAUCUACCACCACUCGGCAAGCUCCCGCGGUAAAGACAAUUUAAAACCUUGGGACCAGUACCCCAGUUUCAAGAAAACACGCCUCUGCGGCCCCAUAUAUCACCAAAAACAAAUGCAAAGGCAUAUUUUCAUUCAGCUAAAAUCAAAUUCCCAGCAUUACAUAUUACAAAAUAUAGUGAAUAGCUCUGGGAUAGCCGACAUCCCAGGAUAAGAAGCUACAACGCGGAAAAAGAAAAAAAGCACAAUACAAGAAAGCUACGCGAGACCCUUCCCUAGCAAUGUCCUGGACAAAGUUUCAGGGUUCACAAUGCAACCUCCUCAUGAGGAUUCUUCUAGCAUCAUUACCCCUCGGAUCCAUCACAGAGACUAUGAAGGGAAGGAGCACCUAGGUGUUCCUCACGAGAAUUCUUCUGGCAUCAGGCGUCUGGGUGGAUGCUACUCCUGUCAAAAACUACAAGUUUCAAGCCUAAAAGCAUUAUUACUUGAGCCAUGACCCUUAGAGCUAAAUCUUGGUCUAUUUAUAGCCAGGCCGCCGGCUAACAUCCAAGAUGCUACAGUCAACUCGUGGGGGUGCAUGACAGAGCUCCUCCAUACAACCAUGGAUCCACGGUACUCACGUGACAAUUGGCCCUACCUUCAAGUAAUGAUGGAUAGUACUCCCAUGAAGCUACUUCAAUGACACAAAACUCCCAUGAACCAGGACUUUUUGUUGUUUACCUACCAUUGCUUCAGUCUUCAUCUCUAGAGAUAUGGGCAUGCAUUUUUGGUCGGCAAACCUCCGUGGCUGUACCCGUCUUUGUGCUUGGGCACUAAAGAUCUACUUCAAGAGACAAUCUCCUUUUUUUCUUAACCAUUGGAUUGAUUAUUCUAAUCGCUUCAAUACUUAGGGGCUACUCCUAUGGAGUGCGUCUUGCGACGCCCUCCAUACACAUCGCUUCGACCUGCUAGACGUCGACGUCCAACAACUCGGCACUCGUCUUCUCUCUACGCGAUUGCCUUUGUGUUUGCUCGGGUCUUCUUGUUUUUUUUUUAGCACUACGCAGCCUCUCCGUCACCAUGCCGUCAUCGUAGCUUGAACCGACCUAAUUCCAAGCUUCAAUGUGAUGACCUCAAGUUCGUGUUCGCCUACACAUCGCUCGGGGGCUUGAGGGAUAUGGGUACACCAUGGGUCCCCACCGACCAGGAUGCUGGCCGGACCUGAGAAGUGGGCCCACCCAACUAGGACGUGCAGGCCAAGGACAUGAAGUUACUUGGAGUACAUAUCAAGGCAACUAGACAAUUCAAAUCUACCUAUCGUGGGACGCGUAUUGUAAUCCGACUUAGAUUACCUUCCAUGUAACUACCGAGUAGAUUAAGUUCAAACCAGCUUGUAAUUCUUGGUCGUUAGCCUAUACAAGGCAGUCAAAAGAGCCUCUAGAGGCAAUCAGACAAAUCUCAAGCAAUACAAUCAAACAUACAAGACAUAGGGUAUUACUCUUCGGAGGCUUGAACCAGUCUAAAACCCUCAUCUCCCCUUCAUGUUCUCGUGAUCACCUUCAAGUCAUUAGUUUCGCAAUCGCCCUCACCUACAAAUCAAUCACUUGGGUAAACCCCUAGUGGACUGCCGGGCUUAUAAAUCCGACACUUAGCUUUUUUGGCAUCCACGUCAAAAUAUUAUGUAUGUUAUGAAUUUAUGGUUGAUCACAAGUUAUAUGAGGGCUUACUGUGAGAAAUCAUGAUGGGUCCGUAGACCUGGGGUCCCCAAUGAGACUGCCUUCCCGCAACACUUGCCCAACAAAGGGCGCAGCCAUGACGUACACCUGGGCCAGCCCAGCUACGCGUGGCCAGGCCGAGGCCUCGAUCCGGCCACUGGUCGAUUCUUCCGACCAGGAAGCCUAGUCACCACCCCGACCGGAAGGAGCCAGUCGGGGGUGGGGCCACAGUCCGACCCCAGCUAGGUUCUCCUGACUGGGUUCUCCUGACUGAGUUCUCCCAACUUAGUUCUCCUUACCCGGUCCUCCCAACCAAGUCCCCCCGACUGGGGAUGCACCGUACCACCCGUACCACUCCCCCCGAACCUUCUCGGUUAGGGCCAACUGGGACAACCGACUAGGGACGCCCGCGCGAUGUGGGCCCAGGGAGCAGGUGGGAUGAGUCACGAGGAAGCAUCUGGGUCAACCAGCCGUAUGCAGAAUUGUACCGCACCACGCCCUGCACACGCCUCGCACAGUGCCACCGUAAACCUACUCGCUACGACGGAGUGGCCUGAUAAGGAGAACAUGAACCAAGGAUGGAGGCCAUACCGCACCAGACGAUGUGGGCUUCGACAAGACUAGGCAGCGCCUGUACACUCACUCUCUUAUCCCCUCCGACUUGUAAGGCUGUUCCCUUGGGCUAUAAAAGGUGAUGGACCCUCCAUUUUGAGGGAGACAAGGGACAUUCACAUACGCACUCAGACGUUCACACAUGCACUCUUACACUUUCACACUCUCACACACUUAGCGCACGUCUGAGAUCCUGCCACUCUCUUCCACUGAGAUGAGAACAAGUCCAGGACUCAGGCACACCCCUCUCAUCCUCCUCUCGUUUGUAACCCCACUGCAAACUUUGAGCACCUGGGCUCAAGAAUAAAGUUGACCGACUGACCCCGACUGGAUGUAGGGUGCGUUGCUCGAACCAGUAUAUAUCCUGUGUCAUUGUGUGCUAGGCCAUAUCCAAUCUAACGCAUGGCAAAACUAUAACUAUUUACUUGUCGGCCAGAUUCCGCACUGAUAGUUGGCGCCAUCCAUGGGGAAGUCACUGUUGCAUUCGCGUUUUGCAAGUCAUCGGAUGGCCCACUUCACCACCACCUUCGGCAUGGCGGGCUCGAGCGAUACGAUUCGCUUCGGCUCACUGGAGUUUCCCGCACCCACUCACAGCAGGACGUGGGUUCCACCCAUCUUUGCCAACGAUCAGCUUGGCGUACUCCGCCUCCGCGAGAAGAUGACUCCCCCGGCAUCCCCGGGAAAGGUGGCUUGCAUCAUCGUCCACGAGCCGCUCGACGACCUCGACGUGGAGGCACUCGCGCUCCACAUCGAGUUCAUGCUGGGCACGAACCCAACAAUGAAUGAUGUGCGUACUAUCAUGUAUUCACUAGUUAACACUUUCAGCCAGCUCUCUGGAGGUGCUCUGUUGUCCCCACCAUGCUCACCACGCAGCUGGCUCCCCUUCGUUCUUGCAUCCCUGGUGGACGCGUAUACAUGGGGGCUCUGGAGAGUCUUGAUGUCGUCUCUCCACCCGUGCGAGUUUGUGGGAAUGGCGGACUACACUCCGUACUAUUAGAAACUUGUAGGCUCAUGAGUAAUUAUUGUGCUUUUCUUCAGUAACAUGAUCACUCUUAAAAAUGUUGCUAAAUAGGACCAACAUGACACUACCCUUCUCUCUUUUGAAUACUAAGUUUCUAAGAAUCUUAUAUGUGUACACAAUCACCAUCAAAAUAAAAGCUAGGUUUUCUUCCCAACCAACCUUAUUUUGCGAAGAAAGAAAUGUUUAUAAACUUUUCUAGGUGAAUGUGGCCGAAAAUGCACCCUAUGCUUUUGCAAUGAUUAACGAAAUGCAACCUACAUCGUGAAAGGUUACAUGUAUAUACAAUCACCAUCAAAAUAAAACCCAUGUUUUCUUCACCACCAACCUUGUUUAACAAAGAAAAGAAUUGUUAAAGUCUUUUCUAUAUGAAUGUGGCCAAAAGAAAGAAAGGUUUAAAAUCUUGUCUAGGUGAAUGUAGUCGAAAUGCAUCCUAAGCUUUUACAAUGUUUACGAAAUGCAAUCUACAUCAUGAAUGGUUAAUAAUGAAAUCUUAUGCAUACGCAUCUCGUGUAGAAGCUAACCUCGCUGACGGCAUCUACGAGUUGGUUCUGGAAGCUGAAGAGGAACACUCCACUACUGCGUUGAACCUGAUCCAGAUGACUCAAGACCCGAGCCAAGCUUCAGAAGCGCCCCAGGCUAACGUAAGGCAAGCCUCGAAGCAUAACCCUAGUUUCCAAAUUAUGCAAUACUUAUGUUAUGUUUGUGCAUUAAGUUCAUAGGAGUUGCUUGAAACCUUAGUUGCAUGUUCCUAGUACCAUGACUUGAAUACUAGCAUGUUAAGUCGCGUAGUUGCUAUGCUAAAUAGGGACACGGUAAAAGUCGAGUGAUUUCCUAUAACUCGUGAGCUAUAUAAAUUGCCUGCUUACUUAUGUUGGAAUCAUAAGGUUGAUAGGUGGGGCUUGGUAAAAUGUUCUGAAAUGGUAGAUGCCCUGUUUGUUUAGAGGAAAACUGCUAAACUCAAAAUGUGUUAGAGUUCUGGUCAAGUGUUUGAACAUACUAAACACAUACCGAGUAUGGGAUCGGGAAGCCUAGUACCUGAUUGAACUAGGGCGUGGACAUACUCCCCACUCUCUUUGGAAUCGGGUUCCCCUGAUGCAUCAUGUGGGUACAAGUGCAGCCUCAGUACGAUGUCGUUCCGGGACCAGUGGGGCCUUGUAUCUAAGGAAAGUGGGACCUGGACACAUGCCGGGGAUCGAUGGGGACAGUUGAUAUAUGUGAACCAUCAGGGUACACAUAUGUCGUGUGUUUAGGUCCACCUUGCAAGGUUAAGAAAUUCGAUUCGAAUCGUCUGCUUCUCAUAGUUUGGGACUACUUGACCGCCAUUCUGCACUGAGUAAGAAGAGGAACAAAGGAUGAUGAUUAAUAUGGAUGCUUGAUUAAUUUGCUUGUUCUACCAUGCUUGCUUAGAAUAGGUGCUUACCUAGAAUGGUUAAUCAACUAGAACUUGAUGCUAAAACUUGAAAGUAAGGAUCCACUUUAGAAGCUUUUGGCAAAACAAACCCCUCGGCCAAAAAUCCUUACAUGUCUAGGAGUCAGUGGAUUAGAUACCACUUGAUGGGUAUGUCUUGUAGAGUAUUAGUAUACUCAGUCUUACUUGUGGCUAUGUUUUCAAGUAAUGUUGAGGAUAUGGUUGCUAGUGUGACUUCGCCGUGCCAGCUCCCUCCAGGAUGGAUGGUUGAGUGGGACCCGUCCUCGGUGAGCGAGGAUCGUGGUCAGUGAUAUCAUGGAAGGCUUCACCAUGGUAUUAUAUAUCAUCGUUAGAACUAUCAUUUUUUUCCGCUGCCUUUGAACUGUAAACUACUUUUAUGCAUUUGAACACUUGGUUUGUAAUAAAUUAAAUUGGGACCUCUGUAAUAUGUUAUCUGGAUUGUUGUAAUCUCUAGGCUUGUCUUCGUAAGAGUUUUGUAUGCUUGUUUCGAUCGGAAACAUGUGGUUGUUUGCUUGUUUCGAUCAGAAACACAUGGUUUGUAAUAAAUUAAAGUAUCCAUUCGCAUUUGAGGUGAUGUUUAGCACACUUUAGCUGGGUUAAUUUGGGUGGUUCUACCACACAAAACUAUGUGGCAAUACCAUGAUGAAGAUGAAAAUCAUGUACCUGACAGUGACGAGGACUAGGAAGUGGAACCAAUCAAUGUUUUAGUCGAUCCGAUCUGAACUCAUUUGUUGUAUCAAAUUUGAACCGAUAUGUGCAUGUAGACCUUUUAUCAUAUUAGUUGUGGAAAAAUCCUUUUGACACAUCUCAAUUUAUGUUUGAAAGCGCACUUAGCUGGCUAUUGAUCCGUCUUUUAUAUUGUAAAACACCAAAACAUCCUCUAAUGCCUUACAAAAUCUUUGAACGCCCAUUUGGCUAGCUGUUUAUCCGGUUCGGUGUAUUAUUGAACACCGGAACAUCCUGUGAUGUCUUCAAAAUCUUCGAAUGCCCAUUUGGCUGUCUAUUUAUUCGGUUUGGUGUAUUAUCAAACACCGGAACAUCCUAUGACCACUUUCAAAAUCUUCGAACACAGAUUUGGCUAGCUGUUUAUUCGGUUUGGUGUAUUCCCAAACAUCGGAACAUCCUUAUUGUAGAACAAGGUUAGGUAGGAAACUCCUACCCAUCUUCUUGUUUGGGUGUGCACUAUACCUUUAUGACUUUAUCCAAUGACGUGUCACUGCUGCUGACCCGCCAUUCCCCAUUUACUGCAAGGUCACUUGCGGCGCUCACCCUUGGUAGGGUCUAGCCGCCACCUGCUUUAGCCACCACCUCCGCCGCCACCUGCUUUAGCCGCCUACCAUGACAGCCGUGCUCUACCGCUACCACAAUCCGCCACCACUCGCUCCGAUUUCAUAGGUAUUCAUCAUUGAAAGGGGGAUUCGUUAAUUUUUUUAAGAUCAUUGUGGUAGCUGAUUCGAGAAAGAUCUUGCAGAUGGGCUGAGAUGGUGGCAAGAGAAAUGGAAAGGCGCUUGACCUACCUCCACCGAAGCAACAAAGGAAGUCGCAAGCAAAUUUUGCAGGCACGUCUAGUGCUCAGACGCGGCAAAGUGGCAGGUCCAUUACAUGGGAGUCUUCCCCUGCCUAUUCCCACUGUACACGGGGUGGGUCAACCUCAGCACAAUCCUUCCGUACACAGGGUGGGUCAACCUCGGCGCCUUCCUGCCGCACACGGGGUGGGUCAACCUUGACGCCUUCUGGGUGACAGCAAUCUAUGCGGCAUCGGUCGCCCUACCUUGCUGAGUUUCCUGUGCUUGACACUAGCAACGAAAAUGAGGUACCUCUUUACCCUCCACCAGAAGAGCCGCUAAGGAUGAUUGACCUGAGCAUGCAUAGCUACCAAAUGAUUAAAAGGCUUAGAUUUGUGUCUGAGGAUGUGUAGUUUGAAAAAUCCCAUGACAGAUGGGUCGAACCAAAAUUUAGGAAUGUCAUUUAGCAAACUUUCUACUAUAGCUACAAAAAGCUAUCUACCAAACUAUUUGAGCACAAGAUUAUAAACUAGAAUCAUAUGAACAUAGCCACGGGAGGAGAGAAUAUUAAGGGAUACUUUGAUCAACUACCCAGAUUGACUAAUUUGGUCUCAGGGCAUCAUUAGUAUAUUGAGUAAUGGGUAAGAGUUUUCUAUGCUACAGUGUACAUUCAUGAGAGCAGAGAGUACAUUCAGGUCAAGUUUCAGGGAGCUCCACAUACAAUUUGGUGACACAAGUUGCUGAUAGUCUUGGAGUCAAUACGUGUGACCUGUCCCUACACUACAAUUGUCUACAGGGAUGCUGAGCCAACUUGCCAUAGUUUGCUUGGUGGAUCAUUCCCUUCGGAUGAGGAUAUGGUCAAACUUUUUGUGGAGCUAUUCGCUUCUCGUCGAGCAUAUCACACACCUGACAUGCUUACCCCUGAGGCCAAUGUGGUUCGUUGGGCACUAAGAAAGCUAUUGUUACCCUGGAUCCGCAAUGCAAAGCCCAUCACUAGUCUUUAGCAGUGGCUUCUUCUUCACAUCAUGACAGGCUGGGACUUUAUUCUUUGUGAGAUUCAAGAUGUUAUCCAUGAUGGGUUGACCGUGCCUUGACAAAUGCCUUGUGCUCACUAGAUCUCCGUCAUCUUGAGUCAUAUUACGAAAAAAGAUGAGAACGGUAGAGAGGUGCAAACUGGACCCAAAAAUUGGCGACAUGAGUACAACAAUGUUAGAACACAAUUCAAGAUAUGCAAGCUAGGGAGACUAGGAGACAGACAUCGUGGCCCAACGGCUAGGAAUGAGCUAUCUCCUGAUGAGGACAGAAAUGAGAACUAUUACUCAGAUAAUGAAGGCAGUGAGGAGGAAAAUAUGUAUGUACCUUGUUUCCAAGUCACUCCAACAAGAGCCAGUAAGCCGACCAAGCUUGCCUUAAUUCUUCAAGACGGGUUGAUGGUCAGGCAAAACAAGUUGAAAAUAAUCUCCAUAUGGCUGAGCUACAGAAAUGGUUGGAUGAGAGACUGGCUCGUUAGGAAGAGAAAUAAUUCAGGUGGUUAGAGUAGGUGGCACAGAGGGUAGACUAGAACAUGAACACUAUGCUCACCAUUAUCUCUAUCAUCCUCAAUCUGUUGCACCAGCAUGUCGGGUUACGACCACCACAAAUUCGACUCCCACAUGAUGGUCAGACCCCCCGCUAAUCAUGCCUCCGAUUGAAGUAGGUAAAACCUCUGAGGUCUCUUUGUCGCAUCACAGUUUAGCUAAAAUUCCACAAUUAUUAACAUCAACGAUGACCCUGACAGAAAAGGAUUCCACACUUGUUCGUGCAAAGAAGGGUAGCAAUGGUGAGGAAGGAAAUGCAUCAAUACUCAUGGUUCUAUCUGAUAUUGCUACCUCAGAAUAGCAAAAGGAAGAUCCUGUGGUGGAAACAACUACAGAUUCGGAUGAUCGUGAAGUGUCUACCGCUGCUACUUUAGAUGAUCCUGGUCUCACUACUUCGCAAGCUCAAGAAGAUCCUGCGGUGACUCCUGCUCCUGGUUUCACUACAUCGGAAGGUGUCGGGCAUGCACCCAGGCCCACGAGUAGGCCCUGAACGGCCCACUAAGGGACGUACUCAGACACGAUUAGGAAUAGGGGGCUACGCAGCAAUAGGCGUAUCCCACUCGGACUAGUUAAGUGUGCAUAUGGAAACUACUCGGUCCACACCGAGUAGAACUCUGUAAUUGUACCCGACUAGGAUUCAAUCUUGUAACCCUGCCCUCCCGAGUAUAUAAGGGCGGGCAGGGACCCCCUCAAAGACAACAACUCUAGUUCAUCCAAGAUCAAUACAACCAACUCACAGGACGUAGGGUAUUACGCGAUCUAGCGGCCCGAACCUGUCUAAAUCGUGUUCCUUGUGUCACCAUCGACUCCUUGAUUCUCGACGGCCCUUACCGCACAAAAUACCAUCUAGGGUACCCCCUAGGCGGGUUGCCGGUCUAAAACACCGACAGCUGGCGUGCUAUGUAGGGGAGCUUAUCGAGUUUCUCUGCGCGAGCUCGAUGGCACCUGUCGUUAUCAAGCCUGUUUUCACCAUCGAGACAGGCGCAACCUUUGUUUUUUGGAUCCUGGCUCUGCAUCGCCGACGGCAUUGGAUCAUUUCAGCGCCAAAUCAUCAACAUCCAGGAGAAGAAAUCAGAGGAUUCGGCUAGGAAAAACCAAAAUUUCAAAAUCCACAACCCCGAGUUCGACUACACGUCGGACUCGACCCCAGUUCGGAGUAGUCGGUCCAAGACACUUUACAAAUUGACUUCGACUCCAAAAGGGUUUCCAUACGGACUCGGCAAUGCAGCCGAAGUCCACCAAAGUCUCCUCACUCGACCUCAACUUGAACACAGGAAAGACGAAGAUGACGACUCCAACUCGGACUAUGUCCCAGAAAUCGCGCUGACAGGACUAGCCCAAGGUCUGGUAAUAACUUCAACAUCGCAUGGCAGACUCGUUCACUGGCCUGGAAUGAGACCAUCCCUCCUCGCCCGCGACUACGAGUCAUGGCUCGUCGCUCACAUAGAUAACCUCCCAUACCAAGAAGGCGUUCCACUCACCUCAAGCCGCGAGGAAAGUUGCACAGAAAUUGCAACAUCAAGCUCUGGAAGCUACUACCCAGAAAGAGAAGUCUUUGUUAUUACUCAAAAUAACAACGCGGGUACUAGCCAACAAAAAACCUCUCAACGAAUAGCACAACUCGACAACGUCUCCGAAGACGAGUCAACAACCAACGCCCCAAAAGAUGAAACUUCCGACCAAAGGAACCAAAGAAGGACGCGCAAUGUUACUCGGGCUGAACGACGACAAAUGCUGGCUACAACAUUCCCAUCACAAAACUUGAAAGAGCAUUUGACGCAGUACAGGCUCAAGAACACAACACUCCUCGAUCAACCAUAUAUCAACGCUCAUACCUCGAGAUAGAGACAACGAAGUCAUAGCUCAACUCGCGUAGCGAGGCAACAAACUAAUUGCACAACUCGCAGAACAAGCUUACAAGCUACUCGACAAGGAAUCACCAAUCCCGUCUGUUCCCCGCAUUUCAGCUCAUCAAGAGGGCAAUAGAGGCGCUGCAGUUAACAACAACUUCAACGAAGUACAAAGGAACAACAACGAAGUAGUCAACCAACCAAGGCAACAUAGCCAAGGUCCAAGUAAACACAACAUUACAGUACGACAAAAAGAUGUUGGAGAAGUUAGCUGCACCAACUCUGCAAAAAGUCCUCGCCAUACUCGGAAAAAUCAUGAAGUAUCAAAUUUCAGCGAUCUUCGAGAAAUAAUCAACAGUCGACGCGAGCGAGAAAUCAACAAUUACAACCACUUUCCUGCUUUCACAAAUCGGGUAAUGAGGACAAGAUUACCCGAAAAGUUCAAACCAACAGGAAUCACUAAGUAUGACGUCAAGCAAGACCCAAUUCAAUGGCUACGAUGCUACUCGUUGGCAGUCCAGGCAGCUGGGGGCAAUAACGACACCAAAGUCAUCCAUUUUCCCAAAUGCAUGUAACCCGCACCUCUGACAUGGCUUGAGUCACUCAAACCUAGAUCAAUCGACUCUUGGGCAGACUUGACAAAAGCUUUCACCAACAACUACGCCAGCUCCAUGACUAGAGUGGGUAACAAGAUCGACCUGUGUCAAGUAAAACAGAAAGAAGGCAAAACACUACAUGACUACUUGCGAUGAUUCUUUGAAAAGAAGGCCACUAUAGUCGACAUUUCAGAAACAGACAUCAUCGUGUGCUUCCAAAAUGGCCUCUACGAUCGACGAACAUACCAAGACUUCGGCAGACGAUGACCAACCAAUGUCAAAGACCUCAAAGUCAUGUAGCAACAGUGGGAAGAUGAAGAAGACAAAGAGCGAGAAUGGUUCGGCUCCCAUCGUAACCGCGGACGCGACAACAACAACAAUGACCAGGAUAGAAAUCAACAUAACGAUACUCGAAACAACUUUUCGAGUAAUCAAAAUCGCAAACGGAAAACGGACAACACCAUUGCUUCCAUGACUAACUCCGGGAAGAAGGGAUCCCGCAAAAACGAUGAAGGGCCAACCUUCACCAAACUACUCAAAAAACAGUGCCCAUGGCACCCAACUAGCAAACACUCAGCAAAUAGACUGCUACAGCAUGCGUCGAGUAAUGCAAGAUUUGCCCGCACCACCUCCUCCCGAAGAGUAUAGCAAGAAAAAAGACAAAGGCAAAAACAAAGUCCACAACGAUGAAGAAGGAGACGGCGAUUUCCAGACCGCCUCCAAGACAGUCAAUGUCAUUUUUGGUGGAAUCCCAGGCACCUUAUCCAAGCGGGCUAGCAAACUCGUACUUAGGGAAAUCAUGGCCAUCGAACAAACAGAUCCAACACCGCUAAAAUGGUCAGAAGUACCCAUAACCUUCAGCAGAAAGGAUCAGUGGACAAAAUUCUCAGAACCAGGCCGAUUCCCUCUAGUACUCGAUCCCGUUGUGGCAGGAUCAAAACUGACAAAGGUACUCAUCAAUGGCGGAAGCGGACUCAAUGUCAUUUUUGCCAAAACACUAAGGAAGAUGUGCCUUGACAUCACGGAAAUGCUCACUCCAACAGAUUCACCCUUCUACGGAAUUGUGCCAGGACCUAAUCACCGAUUUGGAGUAAACCUUCUCAAGCUUACAAGCUUUCCGAUGGAAACUCAAUCCUACCAAAUGCAUUUUUGGAGUACCUUCUGGCAAACUACUCGGGUUCAUCAUUAGCCAUUGCGCAUUGAGGCCAACCCGGAGAAAAUAUCUGCCAUCACAAAUAUGCACGCACCAGCUAGCAUCAAAGAUGUGCAGAAACUCACAGGCUGCAUGGCAGCCCUCAAUCGAUUUAUCUCGAGACUUGGAGAACGAGGACUACCCUUCUUCAAGCUUCUCAAAUGACAGGACAAGUUCAAAUGAACAGAAGAGGCAGACAAAGCAUUAAUGCAACUCAAAGACUUCUUGUCAAAACCUCCAAUGCUCACUGCUCCAUCUCCAAACGAGGACUUGCUCCUAUACAUAGCAGCUACUACUCAUGUCAUCAGCACCACAGUAGUAGUCGAACGGUCUGAACUAGACCAUGCUUACAAAGUCCAAAGACUCGUAUAAUUCGUUAGUGAAGUACUCUCGAACUCCAAACCUCGGUACUCGCCAAUACAAAAACUCCUUUAUGCGAUUCUGCUCACUUCAUGAAAGCUGCGACAUUAUUUUCAAGAACACAGUAUCAUAGUCAUCAUUGACUUCCCGCUCAGCAAAAUUCUCCACAAUAGAGACGCCACGGGUAGAAUUUCCAAAUGGGCAGUAGAGCUUGGAGCUUUAACCUUGACUUUAAACCAAGAACAGCUAUCAAAUCUCAGGCUUUGGUCGACUUCAUGGCCGAAUGGACUGAAAACCAAGUGCCAACACCAGUCGAGAGGCCAGAGCACUGGGUAAUGUACUUCGACGGCUCCCUCAAACUCGAAGGAGCCGGUGCAGGCGUACUCCUCAUUUCUCCAAAGGGAGACCAACUCAAGUAUGUACUGCAAAUCUUUUGGGAAGUCUCAAACAAUGAAGCCAAGUACGAAGCACUGCUACACGGCCUUCGUCUUGCAAUCUCCCUCGGAAUCAAAAGACUACUGGUAUACGGCAACUCACUAGUUGUUAUAAACCAAGUCAAUGACGAAUGGGAUCCAAACAAGGACAGCAUGGACGCUUAGUGUAAAGAAGUUCGCAAACUGGAAAACAAGUUUUCAGGCUUGGAAUUUCAUCAUAUCAUCUGCGACAACAACGUAGCCGCCGACGUAUUAUCAAAACUGGGCUCUAUUCGUGCAGAAGUUCCAGCAGGAAUUUUUGUGCACGAACUCCAUAAACCAUCCAUACCAGAACAAGUCACACCACCGGUGAUCAAGACUACAGAAGUCACUCGAGAAAUCAUGAUGAUAGAAGUCGACGGGAGGACACCCUUCAUCGACUACAUCAAAGAUCACAAAUUACCAUUUGACAAAAAUCAAGCUGAGCAAAUUACCCGAUGAGGAAAAAACUACGUUCUAGUCAAAGACAAGCUCUACAGGAAAAGUGCAUCAUCAUGGGUGCUCAUGAAGUGUGUCACCCAAGAAGAUGGCCAAGAAAUCCUAGAAAAAAUUCACAAAGGAAUCUGUGGCAACCAUGCAUCAUCACGAAUGAUAGUAGGCAAGGCUUUCCGAGCAGACUUCUACUGGCCCUUGGCUUUGGCAGAUGCAAAAUAGUUAGUUCAAAAAUGCCAAGGCUGUCAAUUCUUCACUAAACAGCAACACGUCCUUGCCUACAAAUUAGUCACAAUCCCUCCAACAUGGCCUUUCUCUUGCCAGGGGCUGGACAUGAUAGGACCGUUACCAACUGCGCCAGGAGGAUUCAACCGAGUACUCGUGGCCAUCGACAAAUUUACUGAAUGGAUCAAGGUCAAACCAAUCACUUACCCCAAGGCAAACCAAGUCCUUGACUUCUUGGAUGAAAUCGUACACCGUUACGGUUUUCCAAACAGAAUAAUCACGGACCUGGGAUCCAACUUCAACAAUCAUGACUUCUGGGAAUACUGUGAGAAUAGUGGAAUUGAUGUCCACUACAUCUUAGUUGCUCACCCACGAGCCAAUGGACAAGUCGAGCGUGCUAAUGGCAUGAUACUCAAAGCACUCAAGAAAAGACUACAUGACGUUGGCAAUACAAAAGGAGGCAAAUGGCUCAAGGAACUACCCAAUGCUCUGUGGGGACUACGAACCCGACCAUGCAAGACUACUGGGCUCUCCCUUUAAUUCAUAGUAUAUGGAUCAGAAGCUAUAUUACCCGCCGACAUCAUGUGGCAAUCUCCUUCAGUCGAACAAUACGACGAAGAAAUAGCAGAAGAAACGAGAUGCACGGACCUGGAUAGUCUAGAAGAAACGAGAUGCGCAACAUUAGUUCAAUCAGCCAGAUACCUCGACGGGUUAAGACGAUACCACGACUGCAACGUUCAAGAACGAUCCUUCAACUUAGGCGACAUGGUCCUCAAACGAAUUCAAGACACGUCAGGAUUACAUAAACUCAAUUAACCAUGGGAAGGUCCCUACAUCGUAUCCAAGGUCACAGGACCUAGAUAUUACAGACUACAAGAACAUUCAAGAGAACAAGUACCAAAUUCUUGGAAUAUAGAACAUCUCUAUCACUACUACCCAUAGUAGACAAAAGUACUCGAGCCUUCGCCUCAAGCAGCUCAUAAAACUCAUUCCAACUACUCAGAAUCAAUAGCCAGACUACUGACUACAAAAUACUCUACUCUUGACACAAGACUGUCAACUCAGCAGGCACUCCAGCCUUACAAAACCUCACAAGGGUAAAGCAAUUUUUUACUUGACUGUGACUCAAGCAGAAAAUUUUAAAGUUACAUAUGAUUACUCACAAUAGAGUAAGCGUACUCAAUAACAGUACAGUUAAAUACUACAAGCAAUUGCCUACUGGCGGUCUGCAUUUAAGCCUCAGGCUUUUAUCACAAGGCCACUCAGGUCUGCUGACUACCAAGGGAAAGGCCUACACGCAAGGAAGCUGCGCAAAACGCAGCCAUAUCCAAGUCCUCCUCCCAAACAACACCAGGAACUCCUACGUCGCCACUACCUCGACUGCGGCAAUGAUGAAUCCCGCUUGCUGCAUAAGGGAGAAGAAACAAGGCUGCUCUUUAGCUAGCCUUGUCGAACCGUCCCACACUACGGCCACACCUCCACCUCUAAGAGAGCCGGAUAAAGACUGCGGCACUCAUCACCCAUCACCCGUGAGUUCUAGCACGUACCCAGCUGGAUCACGAGCUGCAAGAUGAGGCGCGCGGUGAAACCUCCUACGAGGAUUCUUCUAGCAUCGCGACUAUCCCUACGAGUGCUAGAGUCUGUGGAGGGAAGGUGGCUCUAACCUACGAGGAAUCUUCUAGCAACGGUGUACUCUUUGAAGGCUCUCUACACUUGAACAACAAUAACCGAAGGCAAUCCAUCGCUACUCAAAGCCUGAUCCCGGUCAACCUCCAUGGCAGUAUAUUUAUAGCCAAGUGCUACAACUACCAACCACCCGGGAGUUACUAUUCGCUCGUGAAUGAUGAGUCAGGAUGCCCUCUGACUCCGUUCACGUGAAAGCAUUCACGCCAUAAAAGACAAAAGUGUACAGUACACCCAUGCAUCCCCUCUCUAAGAGUAAAAGAGCAGAGUACUCGACAAUCGCGCGACUACUCGAACUCAGCACUCGGAAUUACUCCAAAUAACAAAGAAUGGACAAGUAUUCAUUCUCAAACAAGACAUUGUUUCAAGUACUCGGAAGCAUACAAGAGUACACAAAAGCCUAAGGCUCCUCCAAAGAUACAAAUUCAGACAUCUUCGAAGCAAUUGGCUCAGCCUCCUCGAGGUAUUGCGCAUAAGCUUCCUCUGUGCAGUUGCGAGCAACGCCGUCACCAGCCGCCGUUAAAUCUGCUCGCGGGUAAUACGACUUGACCACAGCAAGGACUUGUUUACAUACAACCUUGCAGAGGCCAGCAACCUUGCCUGGAGUAGCCUUCAAGCGCUCGACUAGUGAACGGGGCCCUACGUCAUCUUCAAGAGGAGCAAUGGCAUUCACUAAGUCCUGUGCAGCAUACGUCAACUCUUGAAGCUCGCCUCAAAGUCUUCCUAUGGUCUGGCCAUGAUCCCUACAGGCUACCAUUGCCAUGGCAAGCAUUACUCCAUUCUGGUUCUUCCUGUCCCGCUAAUGCUCGCACGUAGCCUGCGCUUCAGCUAGCGAAGCCCGAAGACGAUUAGCCUCAUCAGCUACUCAGUCAUGCGCGUUCCUCCAAUCAAGGAGCUGGCUACUCGCAACAGCCUCUUUCCUCUUGAGCUCUGCAAAGAUGACCAAAUUAAAAAAAAACCGAGUACAGUUGGACAUACUUGAAGAAUAGAAAGUGCUCACCUUGAUAUUUUUUAUUCAAAGACUUAUAGCGGCUCUCAAGUUUUUCUUGCAAAACCUCGUGAUCCGUCCGCUCAAUGGUUAAGGACUUCACAGUAUCUUCAUGAACUCUCAAGGAUUCCAUAAGAUGGCUGCACUCUUGCUCCAAUUGUUCAUUUCGUUCCUGAAGGGCUCAAGCAUUCCUUUGAGUUCUAGCAUAUAGAUCCUGCAAAUAAAAGCGAAUCGUCAAGUUUUCAGCAAAAAACAGGCAGACAAAAGAAACAACACACCUGAAAGCUCUGCGUAGCUCUCUGGAACUCCGACUCUGAUGGAAGGCCGAGUACUGGACCUUGAUCACUCUUUACAAGAUCAGGCUCUGGAGUUGUACCCAAGGUUGUACCUGAAAUGACAUACAUUAGUCAACACAACACAACAGCUACAACAUGAGUAUCCUGACUACAUACCUAGCGCAGUUGCCUCUUUGGCCUUAGCCACAUCAACCAAAGCUAGAACACCGCCAGUAGACGUUGAGGAGGGUACACAACCAGAACCUGAAGUAAAUGCAGGAUCCUCCACCCGAGCAGAUCACUUCUUGAAGCGUGGACAUGGUGGCUCCAAGACGACUGGUAUCAACCUCGGAUACAUCAUCAAUGGACAAAUCAUCCAAGGGAGCAGAAAGAGUAGUUGAGGGACAAGCCUCUACUCCUGCCUCCACAGGGAUAGUGUCCUCCACAUCCCUGCAUCAAAAUACAAAGUCACCACACAACUUUCAGAAAGCUCGAAGAUACGUUACAAACCAAGAAUCAAAAACUCACCGAGUUGACCGUGGCAGCAAUUGCACGCGCUUCUUCUCGGCAACAGACGACCGAGUACUCGGCACCACAGGAGCAGCUGAAGGUGCAAUUUUUUCGCUAAGUCCUGCAAAAACAGGGUCAAGACUACAAUAAAUUCAGACUAACAAAACUAGUCGGAGAGAAAGCUCACCACUAGCGAUCACAUUGGAUAAUAAAGAGCCAGUAGCAACUACUGGCGAUCCUCCCUUCGCAACAUCCGCCACUCCAGCACGCAAACCCAGAACUGCUUGGUCAGGGACCGGCAACGCGGUAGCCGACGGGAUCUGGACUGUUGGCUUGGGGGCUACUUCAGCAUCCGCUGAUGGCACUUCCACUACCAUUUCUUCAACAGAUGCAACAUCAACAUCCUUGGCGGUCGCGACUACCUCAUCAGCAGUAGCUUCAUCACCACCAAGGGUCGCAUCGACAACCUUUUCAGGCAAAUAAAAUCAUCAAGGGACUACAGGAUAAACACUACCAGUUACCAAUGAAUACACGACUACAUACCUUGGUACUCUGUGACUUCUCGGGAAUCAAACUGAAGUUGAGGCAGCCUUAGCAGUAGACCUCUUGCGAACUACUCGGUGUUUCUUCGCAGGAGGAGAAGGCUCAUCUUCUGACUCUUCAACAACCAACUCUUCCUCAGAAUGCGCCAGAUAGCCGGAGAGAACCCGGGACUAGAGAACAAGUCGUUACUCAAACAAUGUCCCAACAUCUCAAAAAAUACAAGUCAAGCAAAAAACAUACCUCUUGUGACCCAUACCAAGCAUCAAAUUAGCGAAGAGUCGAAGGAAUAACAGGUACUCCUUGAUAAUUUCUGAAGAAUUUGGUUAGCAACGCCUCCACAUCAUCGUCAGAUAUAUCCUCAGGAGACAUAUGCAAUGGAUCAUUAAAUCUUGAGUACUCCCCACCCGAGUGAGCCCGCUACUGCAAAGGCUGAACUCUCCUCUUAAGAAAGCUGGCAGCCACAUUAAUGCCAGUCAGGCCCAGCGACUUCAACUCGGCAAUCUGGGUCAGCAAGUUGUCGAUCUCAAGAGUAUCUUUAGGCUCGCUCACCCAGUUCUCCGUAUGCUUUGGCGCAUGACCAAUAACUACCGGCAAACGGGGGUCAUGAUUUCCAAUAUAGAACCACUUCCUCUUCCACUCACCAUGGGAAUCCGUCAACUUAUAGUCAAGAUAAGUGCCCGAGUUCCUAAGUUGAAACCCGACGCCUCCAAAAACCUCUGUCCUAAUUACACUAGGCUGAGGCUUGCAACGAAACAGUUUUCUAAAAAGCUCAAGACUAGGAGCAACACCUAGGUAUACUUCACACAGGUGUACAAAGAUAGACAUAUGGAGCACACCAUUGGGGUUCAAGUGAACUAACUAAAGCUUAUAGUACUCGAGGAUACCUCUGAAGAAGUCAGAUGUAGGCACUGCCAGUCCUCUCUCCACAAAGUGUGCGAGCAUGACAGUCUCGUUCGGAUGCUCCUUGAAUUGCCACGCGUUACCAAAGGUAGGCCUCCACUUGAGUACCUCCUUUGGCUGGAGAAGCCUGGCAUCAACAAGCGCUUGAACAGCCGCCUCCUUCAUCACAAAAUUCUGCCACGUGAUUCCAGGUGGUGGCGGUGCAGUCUGGUUCAUCGGACCAACCUUUGGCGCUGGCAGAACUAGCUCUUUCCCUUUCUUCAAUUUGGAUCUCAACUUACCCACCGCCGGAGCCUGGCUCUGAGUUUUCUCGGGUUUCUUCCCCAUUUCCUUGGUGCGCAUCAGGCGAUCUCAACCGCAGUAAGGGAAAAGGAGCCAACCUCGAAUCUCUCUCAAAGAACAACAGCAAUGGUGGCGGUGGCACUAGAAAACUACGACGGCGCAAAGAUGAACAGGAAAAACAGGGAGAAGGGACAAAACGGAUCUGCUACAAUGAAACGUAACCCUAACCAUAAAGGGGCCCUCCCGUUAUAUCUCCUCCUCCGGAUUCCAAGCGUCAGCUACGCAACGGUCAGGUAUAAAACAGAUUUAUAUCCAUAACACCCAACGGCUACUCAAAUCAACAGGUUUUGACCACUUCAUCGACAAAAAUCGCCUAAGUGCUCGGGGGCUGCGGGUACCGUACCCGAUGGACAAGUUUUUCUUUUUCAGACUACUAGAGAGAAACAGCCAAAAAGCAGAAUUGACCCUAAGCCUGACUCUUCAACUCAAACUAAGGCUCAAGGGCUACUCCAUAUGGAGUGUGAUUGUCAUCGCACUACCAUAUAAAAAUUCUCGGAACAGAAGCAACUCAAAGGAACAAGAAGAGUACCUUCCAGCCACGCAAUAGUACUCGAGCACUUGGACACUACAGCCACUACGAAGAACUACUCGGAUGAUGCCCGCAUUACUUGUGACUGUGACGCACGACUACAAAGUACUCGGGGGCUUGUCGGGCAUGCACCCCAGGCCUAUGAGUAGGCCCUGAACGGCCCACUAAGUAACGUACUCAGACACGAUCAGGACAAGGGGGCUACGCAGCAAUAGGCGUAUCCCACUCGGACUAGUUAAGUGCGCAUAUGGAAACUACUCGGUCCACACCGAGUAGAACUCUGUAAUUGUACCUGACUAAGAUUCAAUCCUGUAACCGUGCCCUCCCGAGUAUAUAAGGGCGGGCAGGGACCCCCUCAAAGACAACAACUCUAGUUCAUCCAAGAUCAAUACAACCAACUCACAGGACGUAGGGUAUUACGCGAUCUAGCGGCCCGAACCUAUCUAAAUCGUGUUCCUUGCGUCACCAUCGACUCCUUGAUUCUCGACGGCCCUUACCGCACAAAAGACCACCUAGGGUACCCCCUAGGCGGGUUGCCGGUCUAAAACACCGACAGAAGGCUCUCUUACACCUGCUCCUAGUCUUGCAAUGUUUGAAGGCUCUCCUGCACCUGCUCCUGGCCUCUCUAUGUCAAAAGGCUCUCCUGCACCUGCUCUUGGUCGAACUACAUCAGAAGGCUCUGCUGCACCUGCUUCUACUCCAACUACGUCGAAACGCUCUGCUACACCUGCUACUACUACUGCUCCUCCUCCUAAUAAUGAUGUAUCUAUACCUCCUGGUGACCCUCUUCUGUCAACCAAUCCAGCUAUGUCGGCACCUUAUUCGAACCUCGAUGACAAAGAGGUAGAAUGUUAGACAAUUCUUUUGUUGCCAUUGAUUGUUGUAUUCGAUUUGAACAAUAAAUGUUUCAUUAUCAUGUAAAAACCAACUAUUUCGUUGAGCCUUGUAAUAAUAUUUUCCUAGGCUUUGUGCUCAGGUUUUAGCUAUUAGUGAUCUAGCGCAGUUUGUACCAAAGUCGAAUGAGUCUUAUAAUUGGUCUGGUACCAAUGGGGUGUAGAAUGACCAAGUGGAUAGGCUGGCACAUCGUCUUCAAGUUGCAGAUGAAGCUAGAUCAUCUAACUACUCUAGAGGCAUUGAAGACUCGGAUUUCCAAGUGUUCGAGUUGACGGAGUGGAUUAAGAUUAUGGAUACAUGCGGGAAUACAGGUGUGGCAUCGUCUAGUCUUCCGCCACCCAAAAAGGAGACUUCUCCAACCUUGCCAUCAUGUAAUGAGUAAUGCUAUCGAUACAAGGAACCCAAAACUACCUGUAUAGUAUUUUUGUUUGUAAUCUUCAAUGUAACCCAAAGCUAUGUGCGAAGCUACUUAAUCCAAGCGAGCCAUUUAAUCGGAGGGAGGGAUGUUUGAUCUCCAAUAUGCGCAUGAUUGAGUAGUUAGCGAAUCCAAUCGGGGAAAAUAAUGUUUGAUUGCCAAUGUGCACAUGAAUAAGCUGCAAGAAGCCCACCCAAUCGAAGGGAGAUUUUCUUUAGUUUCCAAUGUUGACAUGUGUGUAAGUAUGCUCAUGCAACUAAAGGGAGGGAUGUUUGAUCUCUAAUGUGCACAUGAUUGAGUAGUUAGAAAAUCCAAUUGGGAAAAAUGAUGUUUGAUUGCCAAUGUGCACAUGAAUAAGUAGUAAGCACACCCAAUCGAAGGGAGAUUUCUUUGAUUUCCAACGUUGACAUGUAAGUAAGCACAACAACCAAAGAGAGGGUUGUUUGAUUUCGAAUGUGCACAUGAUUAAGUAGUAAACGCAUCCAAUGGAAGGCAUUGAACAAGGAUUUCCAAUGUUAGUGGGAUGGUACAAGGAUUUCCAAUCGUAGUAAGCAAACUGAAUAGAUGGGAGGUUUCUUUGGUUUCCCAAUGUAAAACUCAAUAUAUAUAGUAGUUCUCCAUCCUAAAUACUCUCUUCAUUCUUGUUUAUAAGACAUGAUAUGAUAUGACACUGUCUCCCUUAUUACACUUAUGCGCAUACGCCUUAUAAACGGAGGGAUUAGUACCUAACAACGUACUUCAAUAAAAGUGGAGCAGUACAUAAACGGAGGGAGUGGUACCAAAUAAUAGAAUAUCUAGCUUUUUGAAGGUGUUCUUAUGAUAUACCAGAGAUUUCGAAUAAUAAUUUAUUGAAUCCUGAUUCUAGCAAUAAAGUUUUGGUACAGGUUCCGCUAAUUAUACUAAGAAUAAGAAACGUCCAUGAAGAGACUAUCAGACAUUCCACUAUUCGGAUUUUCGUCCAGCAUAUUCUACUAAGCGGAAUAUCCUUUGGUCGCCAUUACCUGGUGCAGACCAACCCCAGCGCGCUAUUCAAAUAUUGGACGCCCGGGCCAAGCCGUGUGACAGAUGUGAAAUGUCAAUUUUACCCCCAUCCCCAAUAGCACCCCAUUUCAUCCACCACCAUAGUAUAAGCAUAUAUUGGUAAUGUGAUAGGACCAUCCACCCAGUUGGCCAAAUACCCCAUCUCUUCCCUCCCUUCGCCCAAAUCUUCCACAUCCAAAAACUUUCUGCCAUCAGUUCCCCUUCACCUCGUUGCCCCUAUCCCAAAUCUUCACCUCCUCCUCGCCUCCAUCCUAAAUCUUCACCUCCUCCUCGCUGCCAUCCUAAAUCUUCACCUGCUCACCGCCAUCUACAAUCUUCCCCUCAUAGUUGCCGUCCAUUUACCAUGUCCCUCCGUUGGACCAGUAGCAACAAAAUGGCACCAGGCUGAAAGGUCUUAUAAAGGAAAUGUCAACAACUAGGUGCAAUGUUUUCCUCCCAAGUUAAAUGUCCCAGGUGAUGCAAUUAAAGAGUUUCCUUGUUUCGUUUUGUUACUGCUUUUACUUUGUUGUUUGUUUGCAGAUCUCGCAGUUUCCAUGUAUACACUAGUUUGUUUCUUUUACUAGUUUGUGCUUUGGGCUAGUACAAGGUUGGGUAGGAACAUCCUAUCAUGGAUCUUGUAUUAGGGGUAGUACCUUUAUGAUUUUACAUUAAUUUGUUUCAUUUACAAUAGUUUGCCCUUUCGGCUUGUAUUAGUUUGGGUAGGAACAUCCUUUCUUGGAUCUGUUUCGGCUAGGAACAUCCAAUCAUGAAUCUUGUUUUGGUGCGAUCUACUUUUAGAUUUUAGAGCAGUUUGUUUCUUGUAUAGUAGUUUGUUUCAUUUACAGUGGUUGGACAAUUUUACAAAAGUUUCUUUCUUUUCCUAACAUAGAGAAUUGGAGCUCCAUCCAUACGAAGAGGCAAGGGUUGCACGUAUCUUAAGGAACUAGAGCAUAUUGUCUUCCCUCAGCGUUGGAAAACUCACACGCAUUCUUUCCCAGGCUAGUAAAGAUAAAAGAAAGAUACCAAUGAAAGAAGAAGUGAAAGAAAAAUUGGAACUUCGCAAUUAGCAACGAUAACACACACCACAUGUACGACCGUAACAAAAUUGUUAGGUGAUGCACGCCCUUCCAGAACAGCACAAGUGCCAUGGGAUUCAAGAAGGUUGGGCAGAGAUAUGGACAGGAGAAGUAGAGGGUUACACACCAAGCUUCCGAUCCAUGUUCGAGAAUGGCUCAAACGGCUAGAGGUACCAAUGAAAGCUACAAAGUUUGCAUCAGAGGGUGGGAUCAUACUACGUGGGCAUAUACCAAUCCUUACUCGCUUGAACGACUACAAGAUUGAUAAUGAAAAACAUCUCAAGAACUACAUUUGCAAAUUGGUAGUGUGUAUAUAUCGACUCAUCUACUACCAUAGUUCUUUGCAUCCUUUCUAUUCAUCCAUUUUUCUAACUAUUCUUGUGUCGUGCUUAAUAUAGGGAUAAUUUGACAUUGACACCACCAGUCAACCUAUCAUAGAGGCAUGCACUGACAUGCUCAAGUCGCAAUAGAGACAGGGGAAGAGGGGAGUUACCGGCUCAAGGAAAAGUUCUUCAAUGAUCUUCCAGCAAAUGAAGUCCCAAUCAAAUCUCCUGUGACCACAGUGGAUGACGACCAGUGGAACAGUCUGAUUAUGAUGUGGUCUAACCAACCUCACAGGGUAUGAUAGGACUUCAACUUGCCAUUAGCACAUUUGCAUGUACUGAUAAGUUCCUCUUAUUCAUGUAUCUUACAUGAGUGUUCAUUAUUGUAAAGGAGAGGUGUACUACAAACACCAGAAUCGUGGGGUGGUUAGGUUUCCUCAGCGCACAGGAUCUAGAAGCUACAUUGCACAGGCUCAAGUUGUGGUAAGCAACUGAACAAGUCAUGUUUUUGCUAUGUACUUUAUUCGAUGAACCUGCUUGUGCUCAUUGUUCCAAGCUAACAAUUUAUGCCUAUUUUCACAUCAUAUUAAAGGGGGAAGAAUGCUAAAGGACACCCAACUCCAAUAGAUCUUUCAAGAACUUCCAUUGCAGCAAAAAUGUCUACACCGCUCCAGUACAGGUAGCCAUUGUAAGUACUUGUUUACUUUACAUUCUUCUUUGCAACAAUGACACUAUAAACAUUUGUGAGGACUUUUGUGAGACCUUUCAUUUUCUUUCUUUUAUUAGGCUUGGAUGGAACAAAUACAAGCUGAUCUUGAGAGUGAGAAACAAGGGGGGGGCACAACUUCAGCAAAAGAUUGCUGAACAGGAGUCUAAGAUGGGUGUAGUAAGAUUGAUGGCUGAAAUACAAGAAACAACAUUGAAGUCUCAGACAAAAGAGCUCAAAGCUUUGAAGAACACCACAAAGCAGUUGCAUUCUUUGAUUUCUAGCCUGAUAAACUUCAACACCAGUCAGAGCAAGGUGAAUCCUUCCCUAUACUAAAGUGUGUUGCUGGUGAACUUGUUGUUUGUUGCUAAUGAACUUUUGUUGUAUGUUGCAUUGUUGAUGCUUAACUUGUUUUGCAUUAUUAUUGUUGGUGAACUAUUCAUUGAUUGUGAUGUGAACAAUAUGGAAGUUGGAAAUGAGCUAUUUUUAUGUUUGUGAUUGUGAUGGUGAUCAGUAGCUAAAAUUGAAUAUAUGGCACUGAGAAAUCCAAUAAUGGGCUAGGACCCAGAAAAAAA
rnacentral:lncRNA from 1 species